CAGCUUCUCCUCAAGGCGUCAAGUCCAGGUGUUGGCGACAUGUUAGGUGCGAGGCCUCUGCACACGGACCCCUAGAGGCCAGCGAACCGGACUGCGCUCAAAAGAAGAGGUGCCACACUUGAAACACCAGAAUCAUCUUGGAUGCACAGGACCAAGGAGAGGGCAGCAUUGAGGCAGGGUCAUCACUGAGGAUGCUUCUCCUCUGGUCCCCUCACAGGUCACAUUUGACGUUAACAUUGACAGCUUUGUCUGAAUUCUUCUUAAAUAUGUCUGGCUGUAUCUGCCCUAGGUCCUAGAAAGAGAGGCUUGACAUCUUCUAGCAACGGGACCCUCUAGCUGAUUCCACUCCAAAGUAAGAUUUUUUAGAUCUAAUACUAGCGUUUAGUUAGUUGCAUGUGUGUCUCUCUGUGUGUGCAUGUGUGUGUGUGUUUGAGAGAGAGAGAGAUCAUUCCAUAAAUAGAAGUCAGCACUUUCCUGUCUAUUCCAAGCUCAGGAAAAGAAAAUAUUAAUGCUUUUGGAUGCCCAUUCAUGCUGCUAUACAUACCUUCCUCACUCCUUUAUUUCUGCUGUCAUCAUCUACCAAAUUCCUGAUCACUAUGAACAUGUCCAUCGGGGCCUUGGAGGGGACAACCUUUCUGUAAAUCCAAAACUUUACCAUCAUCUAAACCAUCCAAUACCCUAGCCUCUCAGAAUUAUUGGAGAUAAAUUACCAAAUGGUGUCUCUAGAAAUACAUACUUUUAAGCCUGACUUCAGGUCUCAGAUCUCCCUUCAAAAACCCUUUUA